GACGAACGCUGGCGGCGUGCCUAAUACAUGCAAGUCGAACGCAGUGGGGCCGGGUGAGUAACACGUGGGUAACCUCCCAUCAGAGGGGAUAACACUUGGAAACCGGUGCUAAACCGAUAUUGAUGGAUGAACCCGCGGUGCAUUCGCUAGUUGGUGAGGUACAGGCUCACCAAGGCCACGAUGCAUAGCCGACCUGGGAGGGUGCUCGGCCACACUGGAACUGAGACACGGCCCAGACUCCUAGCGGAGGCAGCAGUAGGGAAUCUUCGGCAAUGGACGAAAGUCUGACCGAGCAACGCCGCGUGAGUGAAGAAGGUUUUCGGAUCGUAAAACUCUGUUGUUAGAGAAGCGGUAUCUAACCAGAAAGCCACGGCUAACUACGUGCCAGCAGCCGCGGUAAUAC
rnacentral:rRNA from 1 species